rnacentral:tRNA from 1 species
GCAGUGGUGGUUCAGUGGUAGAAUUCUCGCCUUCUAUGCAAGAAAACCUGAGUUCAGUUGACGGCCAAUGCU